rnacentral:rRNA from 2 species
GACUACCCGCUGAACUUAA